AGCUUUGCACAGUGGCAGUAUUGUAGCCAAUGAGGUUUAUCCAAGGUGCGAUUAUUGCUAAUUGAAAAAUUUUUGAGAUUUACACAGCUAAAAACAUUUUGAGAGAAACCUGUAAUUGCAUCAGUGUUAUAGUACACU
rfam:Canis lupus familiaris chromosome 33, whole genome shotgun sequence.